rnacentral:rRNA from 1 species
UGGGGAAUAUUGGACAAUGGGCGAAAGCCUGAUCCAGCCAUGCCGCGUGUGUGAAGAAGGUCUUCGGAUUGUAAAGCACUUUAAGUUGGGAGGAAGGGCAUUAACCUAAUACGUUAGUGUUUUGACGUUACCGACAGAAUAAGCACCGGCUAACUCUGUGCCAGCAGCCGCGGUAAUACAGAGGGUGCAAGCGUUAAUCGGAAUUACUGGGCGUAAAGCGCGCGGAGGUGGUUUGUUAAGUUGGAUGUGAAAUCCCCGGGCUCAACCUGGGAACUGCAUUCAAAACUGACUGACUAGAGUAUGGUAGAGGGUGGUGGAAUUUCCUGUGUAGCGGUGAAAUGCGUAGAUAUAGGAAGGAACACCAGGGGCGAAGGCGACCACCUGGACUAAUACUGACACUGAGGUGCGAAAGCGUGGGGAGCAAACA